GAUGAACGCUGGCGGCGUGCCUAAUACAUGCAAGUCGAGCGAACAGACGAGGAGCUUGCUCCUCUGACGUUAGCGGCGGACGGGCGAGUAACACGUGGAUAACCUACCUAUAAGACUGGGAUAACUUCGGGAAACCGGAGCUAAUACCGGAUAACAUGUUGAACCGCAUGGUUUAACAGUGAAAGACGGUCUUGCUGUCACUUAUAGAUGGAUCCGCGCCGCAUUAGCUAGUUGGUAAGGUAACGGCUUACCAAGGCAACGAUGCGUAGCCGACCUGAGAGGGUGAUCGGCCACACUGGAACUGAGACACGGUCCAGACUCCUACGGGAGGCAGCAGUAGGGAAUCUUCCGCAAUGGGCGAAAGCCUGACGGAGCAACGCCGCGUGAGUGAAGAAGGUCUUCGGAUCGUAAAACUCUGUUAUUAGGGAAGAACAAAUGUGUAAGUAACUAUGCACGUCUUGACGGUACCUAAUCAGAAAGCCACGGCUAACUACGUG
rnacentral:rRNA from 1 species